UAUUUGCGUCGAAGGUAUACCGGUAAGGAGUGCUGGAGCGAAUAGAAGUGAGCAUGCAGGCAUGAGUAGCGAUAAUUAAUGUGAGAAUCAUUAACGCCGUAAACCCAAGGUUUCCUACGCGAUGCUCGUCAUCGUAGGGUUAGUCGGGUCCUAAGUCGAGUCCGAAAGGGGUAGACGAUGGCAAAUUGGUUAAUAUUCCAAUACCAACAUUAGUGUGCGAUGGAAGGACGCUUAGGGCUAAGGGGGCUAGCGGAUGGAAGUGCUAGUCUAAGGUCGUAGGAGGUUAUACAGGCAAAUCCGUAUAACAAUACUCCGAGAACUGAAAGGCUUUUUGAAGUCUUCGGAUGGAUAGAAGAACCCCUGAUGCCGUCGAGCCAAGAAAAGUUUCUAAGUUUAGCUAAUGUUGCCCGUACCGUAAACCGACACAGGUGGGUGGGAUGAGUAUUCUAAGGCGCGUGGAAGAACUCUCUUUAAGGAACUCUGCAAAAUAGCACCGUAUCUUCGGUAUAAGGUGUGGUUAGCUUUGUAUUAGGAUUUACUCCGAAAGCAAGGAAACUUACAACAAAGAGUCCCUCCCGACUGUUUACCAAAAACACAGCACUCUGCUAACUCGUAAGAGGAUGUAUAGGGUGUGACGCCUGCCCGGUGCUCGAAGGUUAAUUGAUGGGGUUAGCAUUAGCGAAGCUCUUGAUCGAAGCCCGAGUAAACGGCGGCCGUAACUAUAACGGUCCUAAGGUAGCGAAAUUCCUUGUCGGUUAAAUACCGACCUGCAUGAAUGGCGUAACGAGAUGGGAGCUGUCUCAAAGAGGGAUCCAGUGAAAUUGUAGUGGAGGUGAAAAUUCCUCCUACCCGCGGCAAGACGGAAAGACCCCGUGGACCUUUACUACAGCUUGACACUGCUACUUGGAUAAGAAUGUGCAGGAUAGGUGGGAGGCUUUGAGUAUAUGACGCCAGUUGUAUAUGAGCCAUUGUUGAGAUACCACUCUUUCUUAUUUGGGUAGCUAACCAGCUUGAGUUAUCCUCAAGUGGGACAAUGUCUGGUGGGUAGUUUGACUGGGGCGGUCGCCUCCCAAAUAAUAACGGAGGCUUACAAAGGUUGGCUCAGAACGGUUGGAAAUCGUUCGUAGAGUAUAAAGGUAUAAGCCAGCUUAACUGCAAGACAUACAAGUCAAGCAGAGACGAAAGUCGGUCUUAGUGAUCCGGUGGUUCUGUGUGGAAGGGCCAUCGCUCAAAGGAUAAAAGGUACCCCGGGGAUAACAGGCUGAUCUCCCCCAAGAGCUCACAUCGACGGGGAGGUUUGGCACCUCGAUGUCGGCUCAUCGCAUCCUGGGGCUGGAGCAGGUCCCAAGGGUAUGGCUGUUCGCCAUUUAAAGCGGUACGCGAGCUGGGUUCAGAACGUCGUGAGACAGUUCGGUCCCUAUCUGCCGUGGGCGUAAGAAGAUUGAAGAGAUUUGACCCUAGUACGAGAGGACCGGGUUGAACAAACCACUGGUGUAGCUGUUGUUCUGCCAAGAGCAUCGCAGCGUAGCUAAGUUUGGAAAGGAUAAACGCUGAAAGCAUCUAAGCGUGAAGCCAACUCUAAGAUGAAUCUUCUCUAAGCUCUCUAGAAGACUACUAGUUUGAUAGGCUGGGUGUGUAAUGGAUGAAAGUCCUUUAGCUGACCAGUACUAAUAGAGCGUUUGGCUUAUCUUUAAUAAAGCAU
rnacentral:rRNA from 1 species